GGCACUACUGCGAAAAGUGAAAACCAAUAGAAUAAACUACUCCUCCCUCCCUCCCUCCCUCCUUCCUAGUACAAAACACACACUAUUUUCAAUUUCAAAAUUUGGCCUACAUCCAUUCAGAUCUAUCUUCUUUGGAUUUUUCUCAACCAUCGAACAUGCCUCCUACAGACAAUGAUUACGAUCUCAGACGUGCAUCUACUCCACCUAGCGGUAUGGGAAUCAGUGAAUGUAACUUUGCAGAUAUCAACAAUUUGGAGCACUGUGCUAAGUAUCUCAACCAAACAUUGGUCACUUUCGGGUUUCCUGCUUCUCUCGAUCUUU
rnacentral:misc_RNA from 1 species